AUACGUAGGGUGCGAGCGUUAAUCGGAAUUACUGGGCGUAAAGCGUGCGCAGGCGGUUUGAUAAGACAGGCGUGAAAUCCCCGGGCUCAACCUGGGAACUGCGUUUGUGACUGUCUCACUAGAGUACGGCAGAGGGGGGUGGAAUUCCACGUGUAGCAGUGAAAUGCGUAGAGAUGUGGAGGAACACCAAUGGCGAAGGCAGCCCCCUGGGUCGAUACUGACGCUCAUGCACGAAAGCGUGGGUAGC
rnacentral:rRNA from 1 species